rnacentral:rRNA from 1 species
ACUGCUCAGUAACACGUGGACAACCUGCCCUUAGGACGGGGAUAAACCCGGGAAACUGGGUAUAAUACCCGAUAGGUCUCGAUUGCUGGAAUGCAUCGAGAUUUAAAGCUCCGGCGCCUAAGGAUGGGUCUGCGGCCUAUCAGGUAGUAGUGGGUGUAGCGUACCUACUAGCCUACGACGGGUACGGGUUGUGAGAGCAAGAGCCCGGAGAUGGAUUCUGAGACACGAAUCCAGGCCCUACGGGGUGCAGCAGGCGCGAAAACUUUACAAUGCUGGCAACAGCGAUAAGGGAACCUCGAGUGCCAGGUUACAAAUCUGGCUGUCGAGAUGCCUAAAAAGCAUUUCAUAGCAAGGGCCGGGCAAGACCGGUGCCAGCCGCCGCGGUAACACCGGCGGCUCGAGUGGUAACCGUUAUUAUUGGGUCUAAAGGGUCUGUAGCCGGCCGGAUAAGUCUCUUGAGAAAUCUGGCAGCUUAACUGUCAGGCUUUCAGGAGAUACUGUCUGGCUCGAGGCCGGGAGAGGUGAGAGGUACUUCAGGGGUAGGGGUGAAAUCUUGUAAUCCUUGAAGGACCACCAGUGGCGAAGGCGUCUCACCAGAACGGACCUGACGGCAAGGGACGAAAGCUAGGGGCACGAACCGGAUUAGAUACCCGGGUAGUCCUAGCCGUAAACGAUACUCGCUAGGUGUCGGCCACGGUGCGACCGUUGUCGGUGCCGGAGGGAAGCCGUGAAGCGAGCCACCUGGGAAGUACGGCCGCAAGGCUGAAACCUAAAGGAAUUGGCGGGGGAGCAC